GGGUUCAUGGCCUAAUGGUAAGGCGUCAGAUUUCGGUUCUGUAUGGGUGUUUGCCACCACCGUAUAGAAUAACUGUUCUCUGAAGAUUGCAGGUUCGAUCCCUGCUGAGCUCG